rnacentral:rRNA from 1 species
CAAUAGCGUAUAUUAAAGUUGUUGCGGUUAAAAAGCUCGUAGUUGGAUUUCUGUUGGGAACGACCGGUCCGCCCAUUGGGUGUGUAUCUGGCUUGUUCUCGGCAUCUUCUUGGUGAACGUUGCUGCACUUGACUGUGUGGAGCGCUACCCAGGACUUUUACUUUGAGGAAAUUAGAGUAUUUCAAGCAGGCAUAUGCCUUGAAUACAUUAGCAUGGAAUAAUAAGAUAGGACCUCGGUUCUAUUUUGUUGGUUUCUAGAGCUGAGGUAAUGAUUAAUAGGGAUAGUUGGGGGCAUUCGUAUUUAACUGUCAGAGGUGAAAUUCUUGGACUUGUUAAAGACGGACUACUGCGAAAGCAUUUGCCAAGGAUGUUUUCAUUGA